rnacentral:rRNA from 1 species
CUAGCGACUUCAUAGUUUGAUCCUGGCUCAGGAUGAACGCUAGCGGCAGGCCUAACACAUGCAAGUCGAGGGGCAGCGUGACGGUAGCAAUACUGUUGACGGCGACCGGCGCACGGGUGCGUAACGCGUAUGCAACCUGCCUCCAACAGGGAGAUAAUCCGGAGAAAUUUGGUCUAAUAUCCCAUAAUAUACUGAACGGCAUCGUUUGGUAUUGAAAGAUUCGUUGGUUGGAGAUGGGCAUGCGUAGCAUUAGCUAGUUGGUGAGGUAACGGCUCACCAAGGCGACGAUGCUUAGGGGGACUGAGAGGUUAACCCCCCACACUGGUACUGAGACACGGACCAG